CCUACGGGGGGCAGCAGUAGGGAAUGUUCGGCAAUGGGGGGAACCCUGACCGAGCAACGCCGCGUGAACGAAGAAGUUAUUCGUAAUGUAAAGUUCUUUUAACAGGGAAGAAAGAGAAAUUUGACGGUACCUGAAGAAUAAGCUCCGGCUAACUACGUGCCAGCAGCCGCGGUAAUACGUAGGGAGCGAGCGUUAUCCGGAAUUAUUGGGCGAAAAGGGUGCGUAGAUGGCAUAGUAUGUCUUUUGUAAAAAUGCUGGGCUCAACCCAGUAGGGCAAAAGAUACUGCAAAGCUAGAGUAUGACAGAGGCAAGUGGAACUACAUGUGUAGCGGUUAAAUGCGUAAAUAUAUGUAAGAACACCAGUGGCGAAGGCGGCUUGCUGGGUCGAUACUGACAUUGAGGCACGAAAGCGUGGGGAGCAAACAGGAUUAGAUACCCUAGUAGUC
rnacentral:rRNA from 1 species